rnacentral:rRNA from 1 species
AUUGAACGCUGGCGGCAGGCCUAACACAUGCAAGUCGAACGAGUGGCGGACGGGUGAGUAAUGUCUGGGAAACUGCCUGAUGGAGGGGGAUAACUACUGGAAACGGUAGCUAAUACCGCAUACCAUCAGAUGUGCCCAUAUGGGAUUAGCUUGUUGGUGGGGUAACGGUGCACCAAGGCGACGAUCCCUAGCUGGUCUGAGAGGAUGACCAGCCACAUUGGAACGGAGACACGGUCCAGACUCCUACGGGAGGAAGCAGGGGGGAAUAGUGCACAAUGGGGGAAAGCCGGAUGCAGCCAUGCCGCGUGUAUGAAGAAGGCCUUCGGGUUGUAAAGUACGUUCAGCGGGGAGGCGUUACCCGCAGAAGAAGCACCGGCUAACUCCGUGCCAGCAGCCGCGGUAAUUC